CAACCAGCCAGCACACAAUUCACCUCUCUACCUCAUAUGAUGUAUCACGUGCAUGAAAGUUAGGAAUCUCGGCCUUUCUACUAGUCCUCUGAGAAGAUCACAAGUGUUCAUCUGGCCGUUCAUUAUGUCAUCAGCAUUCUUUUGUUCGUGCGGGAGCUAUCAUUUUAUUCAUCAGCGGUCCUCUCAGUUAAAACUUCGGAAGCUAGUUGUCAAUGUGUGUAGAACACUUACAGAAAUCAAGGCCAAAAAUACGCAUUUAGAAGUGAGCUCUACAUAACUUACAAGAACAUGUGCAUCUUGGACUCACAUCAAUUUCAACUUUCAGCCGCUGGUCCGCAGCUGAUUGUGAAUACCUCACUGAGAAUUUGAUAAGAUGAAACAGUGACAUGGAAAUUCUGCACAAAGACAUAAAAUUCCGUGGUGACGAUGAAGAGCAGGGAUCCAUUCUUCUGCGAAGGAUGACUUCUUUUAAAAAGAAAUUGAAGGACAACAAGUCAAGAGGAAGGCCUGGGGGAUCCUCUGUGGAAGUGUCAUAUUUCAGGCCCCUGUUUUCAAUGUCCAGCGUUUUUGCCCAUAAAGCUCUUCUAUGUUUCUCAAAUCAAUUUCUCUGUCUGUCUGUCUCUCUGCUUCCUUUAUUUUUUCCUUCCUUCUUUCCUUCCACCCUCCGAGUUUGUCAUCCCCCUAGAGGAAACAUUCUUUCACCCAUAGUCCUUAAUAUAAACACUCCAUUGCUUUAGCACGUUUGUCGAUCCCUCCUGGUUAUGUCGGUGACUCCAAGGGAGGCAUCCCACUGUGUGUUCUCAGUGGGACUAUGGUGCGCGGCACACCUCAGAUGUGGCAAAGCGACACGUGAAUCUAGAACAAAAAUACAGCAAGGAUCAGGAAACCCACAUGUCUCUUACGUGUCCUGCUGGAACCAGGACUCCAGUGGGAUUGGUUCUUCCCCGGAGGCUGGUGGGGAUGGUGGUGGGGAGGUUAAGGUUUUCCCAUUUGGGCCACAAGUCUUGUUUCAUGGAACUCACAUCCCCAUGAUCAGUUCUUUUCUGUUACUUUGAUUCCUGUGAAUAUCUUCAUCACACCUGGAAUCUCAAAGCCCAACUCCCUUUUUUUUUUCUCUGUGGAAAACCCC
rnacentral:lncRNA from 12 species